GGUAGUUUCAUCAUAGUUCAUUUGAAUUUUACUAAGGAAAGUGGUAUUGAGUAUUAUAGCUUACACUAGGAAGCUCUUGUUGGUACUUAAAUUUAUAGUAUUCACUGUUAACAUCUGUAUGUCAACACCCAAUUUUGAGAUUAUUUCUAGGGAAUUCAUUACGUUAUUAACAUGAGGAUUUAUAACCAGAGGUAGGCUUUAAAUCCUGGUUCAGUUCCUAACAGCCCUAAAGCAUUAAAACACAGUGCCUGUUUCAGCUACUCGAUUUCUCUUAGUGAAAAGCACUCAAGAAGUUAGGUUAAAGAAGGCUCAAAAAGAAGGACUAGAUUUUUUUUUAUAAUUGAUAAAAUUUCAAACUUAGGGAAAACUUGGUAGUACAAAAAACUAUCCUCUUCCCAUUCACCAAUUAUAUUUUGUUUCAUUUUUUUAAUGGUGUUUUCCCCAAAACAUUUGAAAGUAAGUUAGACAUCUUGCUGGUUUUGGGGGGGUUUUGUGGGUUUUUUUCCCUCUUCCCAAAUCCCCCCAGUACAUAGUUGUCUAUUCUAGUUGCGAGUGCCUCUGGUUAUGCCAUGUUGGGGCAGCGUCCCACAUGCCACAACUAGAAAGGACCUACAACUAAAACAAGAAAAAUCUACAUUUCAUCAGUUGUCCUAUCAUGUUCUUUAUUUUUCCAUUCAUCCAGGAUCAGUUGCUGCAUUUUGUUGUCAUUGCUCUUUGAUCUUUAAUCUGGAGCAGGUCCUCAACCUUUUUCUUGACCUUGUCAUUUUCAAAUAGCAAAGGACAGGUAUUUUAUAGGAUUUCCCUCAAUUUGUGUUUGAUAUCUCCUCAUGCUGGCAUUUUUGGCGGGAAUAUCACAAGAAUGAGACUCUCCUCGAUGCAUCAUUUCUAGUGGCACGUUGUAAUAGUAAUCUGGAUCACAAUAAAGUCACUUUUUCCCUUUGUAAUCAGUAAUUUGGGGGAUAACUAGAGUCUGUUAAAUACCCAGUUCUUUAUCAAACCAUCACCCACUAUUAACAUUUAUUGUUGAUUUUCUCACUUCUAUUCAGUGGUAUUCUGCUGUAAGGAAGUGCUUUCUGUGGGAGGGUAGACUGUUGUAAAGGUAAGGUCAAAAGAAAGGGUUUUGUUUUUAGGAGGGGAGGGAGCUGGCCAUUUUGGAGUUUGAGAAAGCUGCUGAGGGAGAGCUUUGAUGGCAGUCAGACUGUGCACCAUUACCACUGAAAGUAGGACGAUUCCCCUACCCCGGGGCUAAAGAGGAAGUGAGAAGCAACUUUUACGUAGAUGAGAGGAAUAUGCAAUAGAAAGUAAGCUAUGUCCUCGUCUAUAAAAUAGUGCCUUGUGAUAUUGUUGUGGGGAGUAAAUGCUAUUAACAAAGCGCUUGGCACAUCACUUGUUAUAGUAGCUGCCUUUAUUAAAACAUUCUCUAAGUAGAAUAGUCAAACCGUAAUAUUCUUCUGGCCAACUGAGAAAAAGGAAGGCAAAGCAGAAUUGCUGAAUAUGGUGCCCAGCUAUUAGAGUAAUAUCUACUACUCUUAGUUUCUCAUCAUUCGUGACCAGCCUUGAGUGUACUAUUUAAAUACAUUGCUGUUUUAUUAUGCUAAAUUUCAAACACUAGCUAGAGAAUAGUAUGGUGAACCACCCAUGUACUCAUCCAGCUUUAACAAUGUCUAUGUGCCUAUCCACUUUGUUUUCCAGAUAACUAUGAAAGAAAUUCUAGACAUUUCAGCUCAAGAUAUUUCAAUGUAUACCUCUGAAAAACAUGUUGUGUCCUUAAUCUAUAGAGUCUCCUUUUUUUUCCAUUGUGAUGUAUUUGUUGAGGUUAACUGUUGAGUAGUUGCCUAGUCUUGAUUUUGCUGAUUGCAUUCUCAUGGUGUCAUUUAGUGUGGUGUUCUGUCCCCUGCAUUUCCUGUAAAUUGAUAGAUGUAGAGCAAUGGUUCUCAAAGUGUGGCUCCUGGGCCAAUAGCAUCAGCAUCUCAUGGGACCUUGUUAGAAGUGCAUUUUCUCAAAUCCCAUCCCAGACUCACUGAGUCAGAAACAGUAAGUGGAGCCCAGCCAUAGGUGUGUGUUUGUUUAUUGGUGAGGAAAAUGGCCCUGAGCUAACAUCUGUGCCAGCCUUCUUCUGUUUUGUAUUUGGGACACCACCAUAGUGUGGCUUGAUGAGUAGUGUGUAGGUCCAUGCCCAGGAUCCAAACCUGUGAACCCUGGGCCACUGAAGCUGAGUGCUCAAACUUAACCACUAUGCCACCAGGCCAACCCCAGCCCUAGAUCUUUUAAGAAGCCUUCCAGGUGAUUCUGGCGCAUGCUAAAAUUUGAGACCCAUUGUUCUAGAGGCUCUAUCAGAUUGCAGUUUUUUUUUUUUUUUUUUUUGGUCAUCUUGGCAGCCAUUGGUGAUUUUGCCUAGAUCCAUUAAACCAUGAACCCAUGAUUGUAAACAUUUUUUUCAUUCUAUUGCAGUUCUCCUUAUUGAUAUUGCCUUAGUCUGUCUUUGGUCACUGGGAGUCAAAGUGCCUCCUGAGUUCUUUUCAAACAACCCUAAUAAUCUUACCAGCUUCCUUGCUUUCUGGUAUGGUGAGACAUCCAGACUCAUCUUUCUAGUCCCAGACCUAGAAUCAGCCAUUUUCCCAACAAGCCAUAGUUAUUUUUAUUUGGAAAUGAUAUUUAGCAACCACAGUCUGGGCCCUUGGGUUGUUCAUUGCAGCUAGUUUGGUCUCUCUCAGGCCAUACAGAUCAUGUUAUUUUCUGCUCUUGCGAAGGUCCUCUCCAAGUUAAACAUCCCCUCAACCCUGCUUGCAGCAGUUCUGAAUCCCCUGACUCUCUCAGUUGUCUUCCUGUACUGUGAUUUGAACUUUGGCCUCCUUGCCCUAAUAGAUGCUC
rnacentral:lncRNA from 1 species